rnacentral:lncRNA from 1 species
UUUUAUGUUGUUACAUGUGAUGGACCGAGUUUGACAUAGGGUAUGCUGACCCUAGGGGUUUUAUGAGUUCAGUUAUAGUGCAUACACAGGUCAAACUGGUUAAAGGUAAAGUUUUAAAUGUUUUAUGAAAAUGUUGGAUCAUGUUUGGGAUUAUACCAGCUGUACAGGAUGCAUAGUAGGCUUGCUACGGGUCCCGGCGGCCUUAUGCCGAUCUGGAUCCUAGCGCCGGUAGUGGUCCGGAUUUUCGGGUCGUUACAGAAUGGUAUCAGAGCCUGGUUUCACAUGGUCGGACCUAUAGUGUGUGACGCGGAACCCUAUGGCACAAGCCUCAAACCCACACGCACAAGUAGAUAACGGAAUCCAAAGAUCUGAUAAACCCACCUCCUAUGGCACCCCAAACUUAGAGAAGCUGAAACACCAUUGAUCGAAGGAUUUAGAUGAGAAUCUGACAAACGCCACAACGAAUAGUUGAUAAGUUAGCCAAGAUUCCUGGUGCAAUUGAUGAAAGCAAAUCCUC